AUUUACUUGUCUCCAUAGCUAAGUGGCUUAACCCCAACGAUGCCGUGACACCCCUAGGGGUGAAUUAGACAUAAUCAAAGAUUAAGGACUUAACCACAAGACAACUGUGAUGCCUCAGGUCAAAGGACUACUUUGCAUUAUCCCAACCAUGAGUUCUCAUGUGACAUGGAAUAUAAGAAACUCUUCGUUGAUCACGUUCAGUGAACUCAUUCUCUUAUUGAGCACCUACGUACUUGUCUUGAUGUCACACACACCAAUGACUCGAGACUAGUCACUCUCCCUGAGAGAAGACACAGUACGUACUGAUCUUAACGGACUGUCAAUGCCCAAUUGGUAAUCCUAUGAUCAGGAACAUUUAGGAUGUGUCUACGAAAGAAUGGUCUCAUUAAUCUAACUUCAUUAGAUUGCAUUCUCCCAAUCACAUAUUCCUUGGACUUUAUCGUUUAAGCAUAUAACAUUUAUAUGAGACGGCUCAAACAAUAAUCUUUGCCCUUUAUAUGUUAAACUAGAUUAGUUUAACAUUUGAAAUGUCCGUAAAGUAUCAUCAUAUGAUUGGUUUUAGGGCACAUUUCCAACAAUGCAUGCAUGUUUUGAAUUAUUAUUCACCGUGUUCAAACUAUUUAAUUGUCUUAGUGAUUCACGACCAUUAAGAUAUUUAGAAAAGUAAUUUGAUGCAAUUUUGGUUGGAAGCUUCUCUGAAAUUGGCGCUGGCUUGUUGUGGUUAAUAAUUGUAAUUUCAUUUGGGAUGAACACCAUGUCUUAAGGGUUGCAUGGUUUUUCAAAGGGUUUUCACAAAACUUAAUGAGUCUUUCAUGCUCAUAUUUGAGCCAAACAUCCGGACAGGUUGCAUGUUAGGUAUAGGUUUUAUGUUGGAGGUUCCAAGUAAGACAUACUUUAGGAAAACCUUACCUUCAAAAUAUGCAUGGGUAAUUCAUAAGUAAUUGAGAGAACUACCAAUUGAAGGAUGAUUUUGUGAAAACAUGUUCAUUUGAAUAACAUCUAGCAUGCAUUUAACAAUUAAAAGGCGGAAUCAUGCUUGCAUGCAUUCAAAAACAAAACAUUACCCAUGAAAUUCAAAGUCUAGUAGAUUGGUGAACCAAGAAUCAACUCAAAAUAAAGUGAGUUGAGAUUAUACCUUUGUAGAUUCCUCUUUGCAUAAGCAAAGGCUAAUCACCCAAGGAGAGGGCCUUCAUUCCUUGCAUCUAAAAUCUAUGGAUUUGGAUGGAUGAAAAGGUUUCUCCAAGUUCCCAAAAUUGAGAACCUCUAAGUCUCCACACCAAAGAGAGAUUGGAGAAGGAAUUAGUGACCUUGGAGUAGUGGGAUUGCUAGAUCCACCCUCCAAGGGGGGCCGGCCUCCUAGAGAGAAAAGGAGAGACAAGUUCUCACCAAUUUUCUCCAAAAGAACCCCUAAUGAAUUUUAGGCUAUAAAGUUCUUUAUAUAGUCACUUCUAUAAAUGACCUAAAAAACAAAAAAAAACCCCUAAUUCAACACAUAUGGCCGGCCACAUUAGGGAUUUGGGCUUUUGGGCCUUUGUGAAUCUUUAUUCAUUAAAUUGUCAUACAACUUAAGUCAAUGGGCUUGACGUUCGAAGCCCAUUGGGCCUUAAGGUCCAAAACUAUCCCGAGGUCUUUAACGAACUUAUUCGUUUGAUUAAUUAACAUAUUAAUUAAUCCUUGCCAUAAAUAAUUAAACCUUUUAAUUAUUCUUACUCAUCUCCAUUGUUUCUUCAAUCUCCACCUUACACGGUGUACGAUCCAUUAGGUUCCUUUUAGCGAGCCAGUGGGCGAUUAAAACUCUUUCAAAUCGAUUGUGAAUUGAAACUUACUUUCAAUUCUCCCUUUAGUGAUUAUACACGUUUAGGGCUUCCACAAACCAUGAGUGACACCUAGCAGCAUAUCAUGGUUACCCAAGCUAAUCAGAAGAGGUGGAGAACCUAUUCAGUUUAGGAUUACAAAUGCAAUACGGUCUUUCUCUAAUACAAUACUCUUGACCACAUUGUUUGGUUUGAUAGUUUAUUCAUGUCUACUAUCCAAUGUGAUUCGUGUGCUUAUAUGAUUACCUUAAAUGUGAUUUGGAACGUCUUCCUAAAUCUCAUUCAUACUUUGGCCAAAGAUUCUUAAUCAUAUCAUAGAGUAUUCUCCCUCAAACGGUUUGAAGGUUAGAGAUCCCUUGUUGCGCAUUCACUUGCCUCCAUGGCUAAGUAGCUUAACCCCAACGAUGCCGUGGACACCCGCGGAUGGGGUGACUUUGACAUAAUCAAAGAUCAAGGACUUAACCACAAGACAGCUGUGAUGCCUCAGGUCAAAGGACUACUUUGCAUUAUCCCAACCAUGAGUUCUCAUAUGACAUGAAUAUGAGAACUCUUCGUUGAUCGUGUUCAGUGAACUCAUUCUCUAUUGAGC
rnacentral:lncRNA from 1 species